rnacentral:lncRNA from 1 species
UAUGGUUAUGGUUGUGCCAUAUGCUUAUGGCUUAUGUUUAUAUUAAUUGUGGGUUGGUAUAUACUUAUACCUUAGUAAUCAGGUGCUAAUAAAAUUUGACCAACUAAAAAUGCUUAAUGCAGUCAACCAGUCAGCCUUUCCUUGUUUAACCCUUGCAUUCAUAUUCUCCUCACACUUGCUGAGUACGACAAGUGUUCACCCUUGCUAUAAACAACGUUGC